rnacentral:rRNA from 1 species
GUUGUCGGGUCUUAUUGACUUGGUAACGCAGCUAACGCGUGAAGUAGACCGCCUGGGGAGUACGGUCGCAAGAUUAAAACUCAAAGGAAUUGACGGGGACCCGCACAAGCGGUGGAUGAUGUGGAUUAAUUCGAUGCAACGCGAAAAACCUUACCUACCCUUGACAUGUACAGAAUCCCGAAGAGAUUUGGGAGUGUUCGAAAGAAAACUGUAACACAGGUGCUGCAUGGCUGUCGUCAGCUCGUGUCGUGAGAUGUUGGGUUAAGUCCCGCAACGAGCGCAACCCUUGUCAUUAGUUGCUACGAAAGGGCACUCUAAUGAGACUGCCGGUGACAAACCGGAGGAAGGUGGGGAUGACGUCAAGUCCUCAUGGCCCUUAUGGGUAGGGCUUCACACGUCAUACAAUGGUACAUACAGAGGGCCGCCAACCCGCGAGGGGGAGCUAAUCCCAGAAAGUGUAUCGUAGUCCGGAUUGUAGUCUGCAACUCGACUACAUGAAGUUGGAAUCGCUAGUAAUCGCGGAUCAGCAUGUCGCGGUGAAUACGUUCCCGGGUCUUGCACUCCCCGCCCGUCAAAA